rnacentral:rRNA from 1 species
UAGGGAAUAUUGGUCAAUGGGGGCAACCCUGAACCAGCCAUGCCGCGUGCAGGAUGACUGCCCUAUGGGUUGUAAACUGCUUUUGUACGGGAAGAAACGUCUCUACGUGUAGGGAUUUGACGGUACCGUAAGAAUAAGGAUCGGCUAACUUCGUGCCAGCAGCCGCGGUAAUACGAAGGAUCCAAGCGUUGUCCGGAUUUACUGGGUUUAAAGGGUGCGUAGGCGGAAAAUUAAGUCAGUGGUGAAAGCCUAGAGCUCAACUCUAGAACUGCCAUUGAAACUGAUUUUCUCGAGUAUUGUUGAGGUUACUGGAAUGUUGCAUGUAGCGGUGAAAUGCUUAGAUAUGCAACAGAACACCAAUUGCGAAGGCAGGUAACUAAGCGAUAACUGACGCUGAGGCACGAAAGCGUGGGGAGCAAACAGG